GACAAGCCCUGGAAACGGGGUCUAAUACCGGAUAACACCGGCCUUCGCAUGGAGGCUGGUUGAAAGCUCCGGCGGUGAAGGAUGAGCCCGCGGCCUAUCAGCUUGUUGGUGGGGUAAUGGCCCACCAAGGCGACGACGGGUAGCCGGCCUGAGAGGGCGACCGGCCACACUGGGACUGAGACACGGCCCAGACUCCUACGGGAGGCAGCAGUGGGGAAUAUUGCACAAUGGGCGAAAGCCUGAUGCAGCGACGCCGCGUGAGGGAUGACGGCCUUCGGGUUGUAAACCUCUUUCAGCAGGGAAGAAGCGAAAGUGACGGUACCUGCAGAAGAAGCGCCGGCUAACUACGUGCCAGCAGCCGCGGUAAUACGUAGGGCGCAAGCGUUGUCCGGAAUUAUUGGGCGUAAAGAGCUCGUAGGCGGCUUGUCACGUCGGGUGUGAAAGCCCGGGGCUUAACCCCGGGUCUGCAUCCGAUACGGGCAGGCUAGAGUGUGGUAGGGGAGAUCGGAAUUCCUGGUGUAGCGGUGAAAUGCGCAGAUAUCAGGAGGAACACCGGUGGCGAAGGCGGAUCUCUGGGCCAUUACUGACGCUGAGGAGCGAAAGCGUGGGGAGCGAACAGGAUUAGAUACCCUGGUAGUCCACGCCGUAAACGUUGGGAACUAGGUGUUGGCGACAUUCCACGUCGUCGGUGCCGCAGCUAACGCAUUAAGUUCCCCGCCU
rnacentral:rRNA from 1 species